UUCCGGUUGAUCCCGCCGGACCCCACUGCUAUCGAGAUGGGACUAAGGUAUGCUAGUCGAACGACCAGAACUAUGUCUGGGAGUGGCACACUGCUCAGUAACACGUAGCUAACCUACCCUUAGGACGUGGAUACCCCCGAGAAAUUGGGGUUAAUCCGCGAUAGAUGUAAUGUCCUGGAAUGGUAUUACGUCUAAAGGUAUUUCAUACAUGUUUGAAAUAUGCCUAAGGAUGGGGCUGCGGCCGAUCAGGCUGUUGGUGAGGUAAUGGCUCACCAAACCUUUGACCGGUACGGGCCAUGAGAGUGGUAGCCCGGAGAUGGACACUGAGACAAGGGUCCAGGCCCUAAGGGGCGCAGCAACCGCGAAACCUCCACAAUGCACUCACGUGCGAUGGGGCUAUCUCGAGUGCCACCUGAUGAAGGUGGCUUUUCCUAGGUCUUCAAAGCCUUGGGAAUAAGAGGGGGGCAAGACUGGUGUCAGCCGCCGCGGUAACACCAGCCCCUCGAGUGGUGGGGAUGAUUAUUUGGCCUAAAGCGUCCGUAGCCGGCCGAGCAAGUCUUCCGUUAAAUCCAGCGUCUCAAGCGUUGGACUGCGGGAGAUACUGCAGGGCUAGAGAGUGGGAGAGGUCAGCGGUAUUCUGGGGGUAGGGGCGAAAUCCUUUGAUCCCCGGAGGACCACCAGUGGCGAAGGCUGCUGACUAGAACACGUCUGACGGUCAGGGACGAAAGCUGGGGUAGCGAACC
rnacentral:rRNA from 1 species